rnacentral:rRNA from 1 species
UACGUAGGUGGCAAGCGUUAUCCGGAAUUACUGGGCGUAAAGCGUGCGCAGGCGGUUCGUUGUGUCGGCGGUGAAAGCCCCGGGCUUAACCUGGGAAUGGCCGUUGAAACUGGCGAACUGGAGUGUGGCAGAGGGGGGUGGAAUUCCGCGUGUAGCAGUGAAAUGCGUAGAGAUGCGGAGGAACACCGAUGGCGAAGGUAGCCCCCUGGGCUAACACUGACGCUCAGGCACGAAAGCGUGGGGAGCAAACAGG